GAUGAACGCUGGCGGCGUGCCUAAUACAUGCAAGUCGAGCGAACAGACGAGGAGCUUGCUCCUCUGACGUUAGCGGCGGACGGGUGAGUAACACGUGGAUAACCUACCUAUAAGACUGGGAUAACUUCGGGAAACCGGAGCUAAUACCGGAUAAUAUAUUGAACCGCAUGGUUCAAUAGUGAAAGACGGUUUUGCUGUCACUUAUAGAUGGAUCCGCGCCGCAUUAGCUAGUUGGUAAGGUAACGGCUUACCAAGGCAACGAUGCGUAGCCGACCUGAGAGGGUGAUCGGCCACACUGGAACUGAGACACGGUCCAGCCUCCUACGGGAGGCAGCAGUAGGAAAUCUUCCGCAAUGGGCGAAAGCCUGACGGAGCAACGCCGCGUGAGUGAUGAAGGUCUUCGGAUCGUAAAACUCUUUUAUUAGGGAAGAACAAAUGUGUAAGUAACUAUGCACGUCUUGACGGUACCUAAUCAGAAAGCCACGGCUAACUACGUG
rnacentral:rRNA from 1 species